UACGACACCUAUCCGCCUGGGGACUACAAGCACUAGCUUCAAACCCAAAGGACUUGGCGGUGCUUUAGACCCACCUAGAGGAGCCUGUCCUAGAACCGAUAACCCCCGUUCAACCUCACCACUUCUUGCCUAAUCCGUCUAUAUACCUCCGUCGUCAGCUUACCCUGUGAAGGACUCAUAGUAAGCUUAACUGGCACAGCCCAAAACGUCAGGUCGAGGUGUAGCAUACGAAGUGUGCAAGAGAUAGGCUACAUUUUCUGAUUCAGAAUACUACGAAAGAGGAAAUGAAAAACCCUCCGAAGGCGGAUUUAGCAGUAAGCAAGGAAUAGAACGCCCCGCUGAAACUGGCCCUGAAGCGCGUACACACCGC
rnacentral:rRNA from 1 species